rnacentral:rRNA from 1 species
UGAGGAAUAUUGGACAAUGGGCGAAAGCCUGAUCCAGCCAUGCCGCGUGUGUGAAGAAGGUCUUCGGAUUGUAAAGCACUUUAAGUUGGGAGGAAGGGCAGUUACCUAAUACGUAUCUGUUUUGACGUUACCGACAGAAUAAGCACCGGCUAACUCUGUGCCAGCAGCCGCGGUAAUACAGAGGGUGCAAGCGUUAAUCGGAAUUACUGGGCGUAAAGCGCGCGUAGGUGGUUUGUUAAGUUGGAUGUGAAAUCCCCGGGCUCAACCUGGGAACUGCAUUCAAAACUGACUGACUAGAGUAUGGUAGAGGGUGGUGGAAUUUCCUGUGUAGCGGUGAAAUGCGUAGAUAUAGGAAGGAACACCAGUGGCGAAGGCGACCACCUGGACUGAUACUGACACUGAGGUGCGAAAGCGUGGGGAGCAAACAGGAUUAGAUACCCCGGUAGUCCCUGAGCGGGCUGGCAAGGCGCAU